CUGCAGGAUAACAAGGACUGUGGCUGGGUGCAGCCACGGGGUCUCCGGCUGCAGCAUGUGAGAGCAAGCUGGACAGACCGACAGUGCAGGGCAGCUGAUUCCUGCAGCUGCCACUCGCCUUUCUCAUAACA